UGUCGGAGUGAGGCUCUGGGUCACCUCCCACCCGUGUCUAUCGUACCUUGUUGCUUCGGCGGGCCCGCCGUUUCGACGGCCGCCGGGGAGGCCCUGCGCCCCCGGGCCCGCGCCCGCCGAAGACCCCAACAUGAACGCUGUUCUGAAAGUAUGCAGUCUGAGUUGAUUAUCGUAAUCAGUUAAAACUUUCAACAACGGAUCUCUUGGUUCCGGCAUCGAUGAAGAACGCAGCGAAAUGCGAUAAGUAAUGUGAAUUGCAGAAUUCAGUGAAUCAUCGAGUCUUUGAACGCACAUUGCGCCCCCUGGUAUUCCGGGGGGCAUGCCUGUCCGAGCGUCAUUGCUGCCCUCAAGCACGGCUUGUGUGUUGGGCCCCCGUCCCCCUCUCCCGGGGGACGGGCCCGAAAGGCAGCGGCGGCACCGCGUCCGGUCCUCGAGCGUAUGGGGCUUUGUCACCUGCUCUGUAGGCCCGGCCGGCGCCAGCCGACACCCAACUUUAUUUUUCUAAGGUUGACCUCGGAUCAGGUAGGGAUACCCGCUGAACUUAAGCAUAUCAAA
rnacentral:rRNA from 1 species